rnacentral:rRNA from 1 species
UACGAAGGGGGCUAGCGUUGUCCGGAAUCAUUGGGCGUAAAGGGCGCGUAGGUGGCCUGGUCAGUUCGUGGUGAAAGCGCGGGGCUCAACUCCGCGUCGGCCAUGAAUACUGCGAGGCUGGAGCACUGUAGAGGCAGGCGGAAUUUCGUGUGUAGGGGUGAAAUCCGUAAAUAUACGAAGGAACGCCAAAAGCGAAGGCAGCUCUCUGGGUCCCUACCGACGCUGGGGUGCGAAAGCAUGGGGAGCGAACAGG